rfam:Xenorhabdus bovienii SS-2004 chromosome, complete genome
AUUUAUAAAGGUUAGCUUACAUGAUUCACACUAUUCGCCUACUAAACCGACUACUCAUCGCCUUUAAUGUGCGCGGUAUGCUGGUAGGGGAAAGACAGAGUUAACCUCCAUCAGAUGUGAAAAAAACCGCGCUGGGCGCGGUUUUUUUA